rfam:Gossypium hirsutum cultivar TM-1 chromosome 1, whole genome shotgun sequence
UGUUAAAAAUUUCAUCAAUGUUUAUUGUUAAAAAUUGACGUGAUUGAUGAAAUAACCAAACAAUUACACAUAGCAUGCUACGUACACCUCAUGCCGGCGUACAGGAGCCAAGUUUUAACAAUAGAAUUGGAUGAAAUUUUUAAUA